AUGAAAUGCAGCGGACCAAACAAAACACAUGACGAAACCCGGAAACCCUGGAAGGCAACUGAAGCUCCGGUCUUGGGGCGUUACAGCAGCACAUGGUUAAAUGCGUCUAUGGAUGCCACCGUUGGAACGGACCAAACUAGAGAUACAUAUUGGCUUCAGAUGAAGGAGUUCUUUGACACACACAACAAGAGUGGAAUAGAGCACACCGUAAGAUCUCUUCGCUCCCGGUGGUCGACGAUCAACAAAGAUUGUCAAAAGUGGGUGGCGGCAAUGACGGCGGUGGACAAGAUAAACCCAAGUGGCACUAAUGAUAGAGAUAGGCUCAAUAUUGCACAAAAAUUGUUACGAGGAGAAGAGAAGAAGACCAAGAAAUGCAAGGUGAAGAAAGGGAGAGCAUUUGUGUUGCCCCAUUGCUACGAGGUGUUGACGGAUGAAGAGAAAUGGACAAAAACAUGA
rnacentral:rRNA from 1 species